CAGGAAAAUGACACAUUAUAGAAGGCAAAGGCAGCCUCUGUUAAGAUAACAAGGCAAGAGGAAAAAGAGGAAACCAAAUUUGGACAAGUGUGACCACACCACCAGCAUUAUGCUUGAGGAGCCUUGGACUUAUGUGAGCAUCUGGCAAGAAAA